UACGGGGGAGCAAGCGUUGUUCGGAUUUACUGGGCGUAAAGGGCGCGUAGGCGGUCAGCACAAGUCAGUUGUGAAAUCUCCGGGCUUAACUCGGAAAGGUCAACUGAUACUGUGCGACUAGAGUGCAGAAGGGGCAACUGGAAUUCUCGGUGUAGCGGUGAAAUGCGUAGAUAUCGAGAGGAACACCUGCGGCGAAGGCGGGUUGCUGGGCUGACACUGACGCUGAUGCGCGAAAGCGUGGGGAGCAAACAGG
rnacentral:rRNA from 1 species